AGGACGAACGCUGGCGGCGUGCUUAAUACAUGCAAGUCGAGCGGUAAGGCCUUUCGGGGUACACGAGCGGCGAACGGGUGAGUAACACGUGGGUGAUCUGCCCUGCACUUCGGGAUAAGCCUGGGAAACUGGGUCUAAUACCGGAUAUGACCUCCUAUCGCAUGGUGGGUGGUGGAAAGAUUUAUCGGUGCAGGAUGGGCCCGCGGCCUAUCAGCUUGUUGGUGGGGUAAUGGCCUACCAAGGCGACGACGGGUA
rnacentral:rRNA from 1 species